rnacentral:rRNA from 1 species
GAUGAACGCUGGCGGCGUGCCUAAUACAUGCAAGUCGAGCGAAUGGAUUAAGAGCUUGCUCCUAUGAAGUUAGCGGCGGACGGGUGAGUAACACGUGGGUAACCUGCCCAUAAGACUGGGAUAACUCCGGGAAACCGGGGCUAAUACCGGAUAACAUUUUGAACCGCAUGGUUCGAAAUUGAAAGGCGGCUUCGGCUGUCACUUAUGGAUGGACCCGCGUCGCAUUAGCUAGUUGGUGAGGUAACGGCUCACCAAGGCAACGAUGCGUAGCCGACCUGGGAGGGUGAUCGGCCACAAUGGGACUGGGAACCGGCCCAGACUCCUACGGGAGGCAGCAGUAGGGAAUCUUCCGCAAUGGACGAAAGUCUGACGGAGCAACGCCGCGUGAGUGAUGAAGGCUUUCGGGUCGUAAAACUCUGUUGUUAGGGAAGAACAAGUGCUAGUUGAAUAAGCUGGCACCUUGACGGUACCUAACCAGAAAGCCACGGCUAACUACGUGCCAGCCGCCGCAGUAA